UUUCCGUAGGUGAGCCUGCGGAAGGAUCAUUAUUGAAACUUGAAUCGUAGCAUUGAGAGCUGUUGCUGACUUGUUUAAGGGUAUGUUCACGUUCGAAGUGUUUCGUUCUAUUCAUCCACCUGUUCACCUUUGUAGACUUGAUUAACUUUCACUCUCGUUCGGUUAGAAGGGUUGCUUUCGAGCUCCCUUUGUCUAUCAAGUCUAUGUCUAUAUAAUCUUUUGUAUGUCUAGAAUGUCUUGUUUUUGGGACGCAAGUCCUUUAAAUCUUAUACAACUUUCAACAACGGAUCUCUUGGCUCUC
rnacentral:misc_RNA from 1 species